rnacentral:sRNA from 1 species
UUUUAGUAGAAAGCAAACAUGCAGAGCAAAAUAAUAAUUUCUUUAACCUGCCUGGCGUUUUUAUUUCCGUUUGUUUUUACUAACAAACUUCAUCGAAUUAUCAAUGGACACUACGCUGCAUCCAAACAAUUUCCAUACCAAACGUUUCUUAUGCAACUAAAUCUUGGCUACAUUCAAGAAUAUAUUCAAUGGCAUCCUCUUUGUGGUGGAGCUCUAAUCUCCGAAAAAUGUGUCCUAACUGCAGCUCACUGCCUGGACAACCCAGACAUAUAUGCUGUUAAAAUAUAUUUCGGUGCUGUAAAAAUUGAUGAUGUAACGGAUGUGGGUCAACAACGAUUGGUAGUGAAAAGGGAUCAUUUUGUGAUACACCAAGAAUGGAAUUCCAUAACGCUUGCUAACGAUAUUGCACUGAUAAAGCUUCCUUUUUCAAUAUUAUUUGAUGACUACAUAAAACCAAUCCAACUACCAAACCAAACAUUUCAGUACCAAUUUAGUGAAGCAACAACCUCAGGCUGGGGAUUUGUCAAGGAUACAGAUACAUUUCCAGAAUUCGAUAAGAACUUGAAAUACUUUAAUGCCCAGAUUUUAUCUGAUCUUGAGUGCAAACGUGCAUAUAUAUUGCAAAAGAAAUCAGCAUUUCCAGCAUCACUAAUUUGUAUUGCUCCAGGAAAAAACAUGGUGUGCAAAGGAGAUUCUGGUGGUCCAUUGGUUAUUAAGCAUGAAUCCAACUUUGUGCUACUGGGACUAACAUCCUUUAUGCUUGAUAAACUUUGCGAC